CUUUUCGAGGUAGGAGUCGACUCCUGUGAGGUAUGGUGCUGGGUGCAGAUGCAGUGUGGCUCUGGAUAGCACCUUAUGGACAGUUGUGUCCCCAAGGAAGGAUGAGAAUAGCUACUGAAGUCCUAAAGAGCAAGCCUAACUCAAGCCAUUGGCACACAGGCAUUAGACAGAAAGCUGGAAGUUGAAAUGGUGGAGUCCAACUUGCCUGGACCAGCUUAAUGGUUCUGCUCCUGGUAACGUUUUUAUCCAUGGAUGACUUGCUUGGGUAAGGACAUGAAGACAGUUCCUGUCAUACCUUUUAAAGGACUCAGAAUUCAUGAUUGAAGAAAUGCAGGCAGACCUGUUAUCCUAAACUAGGGUUUUUAAUGACCACAACAAGCAAGCAUGCAGCUUACUGCUUGAAAGGUGAGGAUUGGAAAUGUUGGGACUAUUAUAAUUGCAGAAUACAUGAUGAUCUCAAUCCAACUUGAACUCUCUCACUGAUUACUUGAUGACAAUAAAAUAUCUGAUAUUCUGCA
rnacentral:lncRNA from 1 species